GCUGGGCAUGGUGGUGCAUGCCUGUAAUUCCAGCAUCUCUGGAGGCUGAGGAGGUUGAUCGCAAGUUCAAAGCCAGCCUCAGCCACUUAGUGAGGCUAAGCAAUUCAGCAAGACCCUGUCUCUA
rnacentral:sRNA from 1 species